AUGAAGAAGAAGUUGUACCUGCUAUUCUUUACUGUGGAGGGCUUUGAACAAGUUGGAGAGGAUACAGAUGGAAAUGAUGAUGACCCUGAUCAAGAUCACACUGAAGGGGAACAUAAGGAUGAGUUGGGCAGAAAUGAAGAUGAUAAGGAUAACAUGUAUGAUGAUGGAGAUGAAGCAAUUGAUGAGCUGGACAGAGCCAACUUCCCAUCCAAACAAGCUGACCCUUCAAGUUCGAACAGAUCUGUUCAACGGCUGUCUGCUUCUGCAGCUGAAUUCCAUCCAGUUUUCAUGAAUGAUGAUGCACAUGACAGUUUUGUGGAAGAAAUUAGGAAUAGUGGUCACAAAGAAAGGAAGAGAGAAGAAGAUGUGGCUGUGAUUAAUACCCCUUGCUCUUACAAGAUGUUGACUGAGGACAGCUCGGACAUUCCUAUGUCUGUUCAUCUCGAAUACUGCUCCCAAUAG
rnacentral:rRNA from 1 species